CAACAUUGCUAAAACAAUUGUUUGCUAUAUAGAACUCUGUGCUUAUACUACUUUCAAUCACCAUAUUGAAUAAAUUGUAACGCCCUCUAUAGUCAGUUUGAUUUGCGAAUAAUUAUGAACAUUUGAAGCAUUGAAGAUAUGAAGGGCAAACUCACCUUGGGGCAAAAACAUUUUUUCCUUUCUUUCUGCUCCUAUGACACCACAGAAUACGCUGAUAAGUUUUUUGUUAAGUUCAGCCUUCCUAACCCUAUAAAAGCAUGCUUUGGAAAACAGCAGCCAUUGACUAAGUGCCAUAGAGUUGCAGAUACGAAAGGCGAACUCAAUAUCUCAAACCACGUAAUUUCACAUCUCUCCCUCUGCAUUGUUUAUAUGAUGCAAUCUGUCAGUUCUAGUCGUAUCUUGUAAUACUUAUUCAAUAGGGCAGUAAUCUAUAGUGAAUAAUAAUUUUAUUUAAAUUAUGGAGUGUGCAAGUGUCAGAAUAUUCACAAAAAUACCUGGAAACAUUGAAGAAUAUUGAGGCAAAGAAAAAAUGUAAUUCUGGUGAAGAAUGUGUCUCUCGACAGACAAAAAGAUUAGUACUGGCUCAAAAAUUGAGCUACGG
rnacentral:lncRNA from 1 species